rnacentral:ncRNA from 1 species
GCGGGGUUGAUUCGUCCCCUGCGGAGCGAGCGGCGGGCAUAAGGCAAGAGAAAGCCGGGCAGAAAUGGCCGGAUGGCGAAGC